rnacentral:rRNA from 1 species
CUUUGCAAGUAUAAAAAUAAAUUUCAACCCCGAAAAUUAAUGAGCUGGCCGUUGUUUGUUUAGAACCCAAUAUAUGGUGUAGCAAUACCAUUACAAAAACAAAAGCCAGAGGCUACAUACCUACCGCAUUUCUUGAUAUCUGGUUUUUCGCCAACCCAGCUUAAGCUGCUCAAGUUGAAAAUUCUCACCCUACCACCUUAUCAACUCUGAAACUAAAUUAGGGAUAAGCCUGAUUUACACCUUUUAUUAUACACAAAUAUACCCUCUAUUCGUAGGCCCAGAAACAGCCACCACUUAUAACACGUUACAGUAAUAAUAUAAAAACAAUUAGAUAUCAAAUACUCCUUUCAGCGAAACAACUCUUACAACCCAAAAUUAGUAAAACUAUGCAAAGAUCAGUAUUCAACCUCCCCAUCACUCACACCACAUAUGUAGAAAAGGAACUCGGCAAACACGUAUUCCGACUGUUUAACAAAAACAUUGCCUGCAGCUCAAAUAUUGUAGGUACAUCCUGCCCAAUGAAUGUUCAUCAUUUAAAUGGCCGCGGUAUCCUAACCGUGCAAAGGUAGCAUAAUAAUUUGCCUCUUAAUUGAAGGCUAGUAUGAAUGGACAAACGAGAGUACAACUGUCUCCUCUACACCCCUAAAAAUUUUUCUUCAGGUGAAGAAACCUGAAUCAAUAUAAAAGACAAGAAGACCCUGACGAGCUUCAAUCUCGAAAGAACCCCCACAUCACACGAUACCCAUCCCUCUAUAAGAGAUAUUUAUUGGGGCGAUAAUGGAAUACACCAAACUUCCACCUAACAUUAGACUCCAAGUCCCCCCCAAGAUCCACUAAAGAUCCCAGGAAAUAGCUACCGCAGGGAUAACAGACUUAUUCUCCUCAAGAGCCCAAAUCUACAGGAGAGUUUGGCACCUCGAUGUUGGCUUAAAGACUUCUUUUAGAUGUAGCAGUCUAAAAAGUGGGUUUGUUCAACCCUUAAUACUUUACAUGAG